CCAAAGGCCAAAGGUCAGACGUUUCACGCAUUUCAGGUCUCAAUCGCUUUUCAGCAACAGCUUCAACUCCACGCUGUGGAUUUGUGUGUUAAUGGGUCUCAAUCCAAGAUGACUGCGUCUUCGUCUGCGCACUCAUUACGCUCGAUAAAUGCGAACGGCCUCGGAGCGUACUGAUUCCAUUCGAUUCACGGCAAAGAAAGCGUUCCGCCGAAUGCCGAACUCCAUAAAAGGGCCACAAAAACAAACAAACCUGGCAAAUGGAUCUCUUUGAGGUCAGCAAUUGGAGUGUGGCCAAUGGGCAGGCAAGGCUCUUCCUCUCCGGAUUCAAUUAGGUUGUCCAGGUGUCCAGUGUAUCCAAGAAACAAAGCCGCAAUACCCAAUUGACAGAUGUCCGUUCCAAAGUCGAAGUCAGGGUUAAAUUUAAAGUGCAACGCAUCAAACGAAAAGACCAAGACCAAGUCCAGCUGAAAUCCGAAGACCAAGACAUUUUGGGAGUGUCGCCCGAGGGGACUCGCCUCGAAUUCCACCGCGUAGACAAUUCCACAGAAGAAAGAGCCAGCAGAAAGAGGAGAAAUGCUUACAUAAUCUGGACAACUGGCAUUCGUUAUUUAUGCGAAUUAUCGUGCGUGUUGCAUGAUCAAAUGAAUUGAAAAAGAUUUGGCAGGCAGAACAGGAUCGGCAGAGAUGAAGCUGGAGGAGCGAGCAGCUGGCAGGACAGACCUCAACCGGAUGGCAGUAGAGGACGGUGAUCGGAUCGGAUUUUGGCUCCGGGCUAUGUGAAACCCUGCAGCAGGCGUAAAUAAUUAAAAUAUUUA